GGGUCUGUAGCUUAACUGGGAAAGCGUCUACCUUGCAAGUAGAAAGAUGUGGGUUCGAUUCCCAUCAGUAUCCA
rnacentral:tRNA from 1 species